CAGCCGCCGCGGUAAUACAGAGGAUGCAAGCGUUAUCCGGAAUUAUUGGGCGUAAAGCGCGCGCAGGUGGUUUAAUAAGUCUGAUGUGAAAGCCCACGGCUCAACCGUGGAGGGUCAUUGGAAACUGUUAAACUUGAGUGCAGGAGAGAAAAGUGGAAUUCCUAGUGUAGCGGUGAAAUGCGUAGAGAUUAGGAGGAACACCAGUGGCGAAGGCGGCUUUUUGGCCUGUAACUGACUCUGAGGCGCGAAAGCGUGGGGAGCAAACAGGAUUAGAGACCCCUGUAGUCCCUGUCUCUUAUAC
rnacentral:rRNA from 1 species